UACGGGGGGAGCAAGCGUUGUUCGGAUUUACUGGGCGUAAAGGGCGCGUAGGCGGCCUCCGCAAGUCAGUUGUGAAAUCUCCGAGCUUAACUCGGAAAGGUCAGCCGAUACUGCGGGGCUAGAGUGCAGAAGGGGCAACUGGAAUUCUCGGUGUAGCGGUGAAAUGCGUAGAUAUCGAGAGGAACACCUGCGGCGAAGGCGGGUUGCUGGGCUGACACUGACGCUGAGGCGCGAAAGCUAGGGGAGCGAACGGG
rnacentral:rRNA from 1 species